AACGCAACUUGCGCUUCUUGGUACUCCCAAGGAGCAUGCCUGUAAGAAUAUCUUCAUGUAUUCAUCUGUCCGACUGCAAAAAUUGUCGGACGAAAAACCGUAAAUGUUUCUCUAUCAAAUGCUGCUUUUAAUUUCGUUGUAAAUUAAUUCCACGCAAAAAGGAGUCAUUUGAAAACUGUCUUGCUUUUGGGUGUCUUGCGGAUCUAUCUACUUGGAGCAUCGUAAUAAUAAUUCUUUUGUGUAUUUUAGUUACUAGUGCUUUUUUUAGGUUUAAACGUAUUGGAUACGUUAGGUAAGAGUAUUCCAGUGAACUUCACUUUUUAAUUGUCUUUUCUUUUUGGCAUUAAAUAGAGCAGUUUUUUUCUGUAAGAUUUUACAUAUCAGGUAGGGCUACCCGCUGAACUUAA
rnacentral:misc_RNA from 1 species